GAUUGCAUUAUACUGUGUGUGUGUGUGUGUGUGUGUGUGUGUGUGUGUGUAUACACACACACACACACACACACACACACACACACACUUAUU